rnacentral:rRNA from 1 species
UACGGAGGGGGCUAGCGUUGUUCGGAUUUACUGGGCGUAAAGCGCACGUAGGCGGCGUAUCAAGUCAGAGGUGAAAGGCCUGGGCUCAACCUAGGAACGGCCUUUGAUACUGGUAUGCUUGAGUUCGGAAGAGGGUAGUGGAAUUCCAAGUGUAGAGGUGAAAUUCGUAGAUAUUUGGAAGAACACCGGUGGCGAAGGCGGCUACCUGGUCCGAUACUGACGCUGAGGUGCGAAAGCGUGGGGAGCGAACAGGAUUAGAUACCCGGGUAGUCC